UACGUAGGGUGCAAGCGUUGUCCGGAAUUAUUGGGCGUAAAGAGCUCGUAGGCGGUCUGUCGCGUCGGCUGUGAAAACUCGGGGCUCAACCCCGAGCCUGUAGUCGAUACGGGCAGACUAGAGUGCUGUAGGGGAGACUGGAAUUCCUGGUGUAGCGGUGAAAUGCGCAGAUAUCAGGAGGAACACCGGUGGCGAAGGCGGGUCUCUGGGCAGUAACUGACGCUGAGGAGCGAAAGCGUGGGGAGCGAACAGG
rnacentral:rRNA from 1 species